UACGAAGGGGGCUAGCGUUGCUCGGAAUGACUGGGCGUAAAGGGCGCGUAGGCGGAUGGCACAGUCAGAUGUGAAAUUCCCGGGCUUAACCUGGGGGGCUGCAUUUGAUACGUGUUGUCUUGAGUUCGGAAGAGGGUCGUGGAAUUCCCAGUGUAGAGGUGAAAUUCGUAGAUAUUGGGAAGAAACACCGGUGGCGAAGGCGGCGACCUGGUCCGACACUGACGCUGAGGCGCGAAAAGCGUGGGGGAGCAAACAGG
rnacentral:rRNA from 1 species